CUUGCUUCUCUUGAGAGCGGCGGACGGGUGAGUAAUGCCUAGGAAUCUGCCUGGUAGUGGGGGAUAACGUCCGGAAACGGACGCUAAUACCGCAUACGUCCUACGGGAGAAAGCAGGGGACCUUCGGGCCUUGCGCUAUCAGAUGAGCCUAGGUCGGAUUAGCUAGUUGGUGGGGUAAUGGCUCACCAAGGCGACGAUCCGUAACUGGUCUGAGAGGAUGAUCAGUCACACUGGAACUGAGACACGGUCCAGACUCCUACGGGAGGCAGCAGUGGGGAAUAUUGGACAAUGGGCGAAAGCCUGAUCCAGCCAUGCCGCGUGUGUGAAGAAGGUCUUCGGAUUGUAAAGCACUUUAAGUUGGGAGGAAGGGCAGUAAAUUAAUACUUUGCUGUUUUGACGUUACCGACAGAAUAAGCACCGGCUAACUCUGUGCCAGCAGCCGCGGUAAUACAGAGGGUGCAAGCGUUAAUCGGAAUUACUGGGCGUAAAGCGCGCGUAGGUGGUUCGUUAAGUUGGGAUGUGAAAUCCCCGGGCUCAACCUGGGAACUGCAUUUC
rnacentral:rRNA from 1 species